UACGAUCACCAAAGUUAAGCAACGUCGAGCCUGGUUAGUACUUAGAUGAGUGACCGCUUGGGAAUAUCAGGUGCUGUAA
rnacentral:rRNA from 1 species